CCUUAGCCCACCAUCGCUACACGCUCUAACACAUCUCUCUCUCUCUGAUCUUUACACUGACACGAAACUCCCGCACAAAAUGAAGCAAUUUUUACUCGUAUUUGUCUUGCUGUUGGUGCUGAUUGCAACUGAAGGUUUUUUCAUGGAAAAAUUUGACUGCCUGACGUGUGCUCAGGGCGACAUCUAUUGUCUCAGCAACUGUCUGUACACAAUUCUCCCAACCCAGGGAAGUUCUCUACUAAUUGGCCGAGCCAAUCAGCAAUAACCGUUCCCAAUCAACCAGUGAUUUCUGAAGUCAAACUUUAAAUAUGAUUUUUUUUAAACUCUUGACAAACGCAAUAAAAAUAAAUAAAACAAAA